GCAACAGUUAAAUUUAAUGAUGACAUUUAAAUAUAUAUAUAUAUUCAGAGAGAAACUGAAAUCUUUGAAUAUGAAGUUUACUAUAAUGUGAAAUUACAGUUAUAAAAUAGAGUAUUGUAUAUAUCUUAAAUAAUUAAUAUAAUAUUGAUUCAUCAACUGAAUCCUAUUAUUACUAGGGGCAGGCUGCCUCUAGCACCCCCUUUCAAAGGGCUUGAACAGCUCAGGCAGAACACUCUAUAGCAGAAGCUUUAUGAAACAUGCAGCUGGG
rnacentral:sRNA from 1 species